rnacentral:tRNA from 2 species
GCCUCUAUAGCUCAGUGGGAGAGCGCAUGCCUAGUACUCACUCCAGAGUUCAGCAUGAGGUCCUCAGUUCGAUCCUGGGUGGAGGCA